rnacentral:lncRNA from 1 species
AGUGCUUGUGUUCCUGAGUGUAGGUUCUGAGCUAUUAGGUUACUACAGACUACAGAGAUACAACGUGAAAUCUCCACCUCUUUAUGGUGAGGGUCUCUCCCGUAUGUACCCUCAGCCCACAGGAGAGAGAGGUACAUGGGAUGGCACAUGUGGCACAACUGGACUCCUUUGGGCUUCAGUGAUCCAACCUCUCAUCACAGUGGACAUUGGCUGAGCACAUCUGAUGUCCUCAUUAUCCAAGUUGGCCUGGGGAGGAAUUGCUGCCUAAGGAUGCCAGUGGAAACAUUAUUUUUGAUACUGUGGAUCUUCGUGACACAUGGGAGGCCCUGGAGAAGUGCAAAGAAGCAGGUUUAACCAAGUCCAUCGGGGUGUCCAAUUUCAAUCACAAACUGCUGGAACUCAUCCUCAACAAGCCAGGGCUCAAGUACAAGCCCACCUGCAACCAGCAGGUGGAAUGUCACCCUUACCUCAACUAGAGCAAACUCCUGGAGUUCUGCAAGUCCAAGGACAUUGUUCUAGUUGCCUACAGGGCCCUGGCAUCUCACAGAGACCCAAACUGGGAUGGACCCAGAUAGCCCAUAUCUCUUAGAGGAGCCAACCUUGAAAUCCAUUGCCAAGAAAUACAAUAGAAGCCCAGGCCAGGUUGCCCUGUGCUAUGAGCUGCAGCGGGGGGGUGGUGGUCCUGGCCAAGAGCUUCUCUGAGAAGAGAAUCAAAGAGAACUUCCAGGUUUUUGACUUUGAGUUGACUCCAGAGGACAUGAAAGCCACUGAUGGCCUCAACAGAAAUUUCCGAUAUGCUAAGUUACAAUUGUAAGUCAUGCUUGCAGAUUCUUUCACAGGCUGUUUUCUGUAAUAUGCAGGCAAACAGAGGAAUACAUCUUCCCUAAAUCAGGAAGGCAGGCCAGAUUUCAGGAAUAGGUAUGAAACAGGAGCUUCCCUAUAGUCCUCAUGUGGCUCAAUCUGUGACCCAACAGGAAUGUGAGUCAGUAAGUGAAACUGUUGACAUCUGCACCAUUGUGAAUGCACUUCUUCAAUUUUUUUUUUUUUUUUUCUGAGACAAAGUCUUGCUCUAUUGCCUAGGCUGGAGUGCAGUGACACGAUCUCGGCUCACCGCAACCUCUGCCUCCCGGGUUCAAGCAAUUCUCCUGCCUCAGCCUCCUGAGCAGCUGGGAUUAUAGGCGUUUGCCACCACGCCCAGCUAAUUUUUGUAUUUUUAGUAGAGACAGGGUUUCACCAUGUUGGCCAGUCUGGUCUCGAACUCCUGACCUCGUGAUCUGCCCACCUCGGCCUCCCAAAGUGCUGGAAUUACAGGCAUGAGCCACUGUGCCCCGCCAUGAAUGCACUUCUUUAGUGCCCUUACUACCUGUGCCCGGUCCUGCACGCAGGGCCACUGCCUAUUAGAAUAGAAGGCACGGUGUCUAUGACCCAUCAUACUUAUAGGAGCCCAUGAUAAUGUUCUAGCUUUAAUUUAUUUUAAAGUCAGAAGAAAAAGAGAAUACAACAAUGAUGAAUAUGUAAUAAUGAAUCCAGCCUCGUCUAUCUUCAUGUCUAUACCAAGGCAAUGUAAGACUUAAUUUUAAUAUUUGUAUAGAGCAUUGGUCCAUGAAAGCAAAUGUGCAUAUGUCCUAGGGAAGUCACAGUGGGCCCUGCUUCCAUGGCCUCCCCUAAGUGUCCAGUGACAUUUCUCCUUACUGUGGCAUUCCUUUUCCGAGACACCAACUAUUUCUUCCAAAUUUUUGUCUUCCUUGGCUUUCUUUACCUUCACAACUCCCAUUUCCUCAGCUAUAUAAUCUCACUAAGCUGAAUGACAAAUGAAUUAUGAAAUUAAUAGACCCUCAGUGCUAGUGACUGAGGUGUCCCCAGUGGCCUCCACCAAGUUAAGAUCCUCUGGAAUUUCUCCGGAUCUUCGAGGCAAGACUCUUACUCCAGUGUCAUCUUCGUCCAUCUGAAGCCCACCUCUAAGGAACCCAACAUAACUUCACUUUAGUUUAUUCACAAACAUGACGUUCCAUUGGAUCAACUGUGGCAGGAUCUCAGGGUUGAGGAGAAAGAUGACUAAUCAAACAGAGCCAAGUUUGGAGGGGAGUUUAGAAACAGGGCGAAAUAUCAUUUUAGUUAGGAAAAUACUCAGUCUCCAAAACACAUCUGAAAGGUCCCCCUUCUUUUUGUAAAACCAUACCAGGCUUCCAAGAAAAGACAUUUUCAAUGAGAAAAAUGUGAAAGCAACCUUUCUAUACUCACAGGCCUUAAGUAUAAUCUGUGAUCUGCCUCAUGAGACUGUGAAUGUCUCCUCUUACUCAUCUCUGUGGCCCUAUGUUAAUACAGCUCCUGGUGCAUUUAACUGCUUAGAAAGUACUCUUUAAUGACACUCAAUUAAAAAGAACGAAUUAUAAAAAAGAAAGCCCUUUUUGCCAUUAAGGUAACAUAUUUUCAGGUUCCAGAGAUAAGGGCAUGUAUGUCUUUGGGGGCCAUUACUGAGCCUACUACACUAGUUUUGUAAGUAAAUUUAGAGCAACUAAACUUUAGUUUUCUAAUUUUUGUAAUAGAAAGAAUUCUAUGUCCAGCCACUGGAUCCUGAAACUCUAGACUUUUAUCUCAGAUAUCAAGAGGAAAACCACAUGAAUAAAUACCUGUUUCUUUAAAGCUGAUGUAAUCUUGACCCUAUUGUAUUUCCUCCUUCUGGAUACAUGCCCUUCAUUAUUUUAUUCUAAAAUUUAUUCUCAGGAUCUGUUGACAUUGUCUUUUGUUGUUCAUAUGGAAAACUCAAGCUUUUCAGUUUGCCAACAUUCUCAACUCUUCAGAAUUUCUACUGAUGUCUAGAUUAUACUUCAGGCAAUGGAUCCCAUGUUUACUACUUAAACGUGCUUCAUCUAUGAAACCUUCAGUUGGACACAUCUUAUAUUAAUGAAGUCUCUUAACUCUGCAGUUUCUACUAUACCUUGAUUUAUCAAGUUCUUGAUUCAUCAAGAGUUGUCAUUAGGUCUCUCUUCUUUCCUCUUUGCAUUCUUUCAAUACCCAUAGAAGUUUACGUAUGAAAAUUAGGCUAAAUAAUAUACUAAAUUGAAAUUGAUCAGACUCCACUUAUUCUACACAAGUAAGUUUGGAAACAUCUAAUUUAAAGAAAAGCACUUUCUCACUAUGGUUUCAGCAGUCAAGAUGAUUGCCUUUCCAACAUCAGUUUUACUUUAAAUAAUUUGUUUAGGUCAGCCAUGCUAAUUUCAUUGUGGUUGGCAUAGGAGUCACUGUGGAUAAAGAGUUGUGACCCAGCCUUAGCCAACGCCACAUAAGAAGCACUGUGCUGGGUACUUCUAGGAGAGUUUCUCUCACUUCUAAGAAGGAGCCUUUGAAGAGAGGUUGCUUCUCUUCUUCAAGGGGAUAUUGUCCCAUUGCAAGGUGAGGUGUGAAAUUGCUGUGGAGUCUCCACCCAGCCUGAGGACGACAUCAAUACACAGAAGAAGAAAAAGGAGAAGAUGAGAGAAAUUCUGCACUCUCAUGGAUGACACCCAGAGUUUACCCUCCCUCUGGACUUCUUGUUAUGGGACUAACACAUUUUUGUGGAUUUUAAACCAAUUUGAAUUACUUUUUUUGCACCUGCCUGUACUCUAAUCCAAACAACCAUCCAAGUUAAUAAUUUUCUCUUUACAAUGCACCCUGCAUUUUGUACCUAUACAAGAGUGGUCAGAAUGUGUGAAAACUGCUGAGUCAUCCUGACAGCAUGGCUCCAGUAGAUUCUAGGGGUCGGCUAUAGUAUUGAGUGAUAUUAAAAUAACAAAUAAUGCACAAAAGGCAUGGAUCUAAAAAAGUCUUUAGGAAUCUUCACUCACUGAGAGCUCAUAUUCAGGACACAGUUUCUUCUUCAAAUCACCUUGGACAAGCCAUUAUGUUAAGCCUUUUUCAUUUGUUGCUCUCCCAUAUCCCUAUUUAGACUUUGAUAUCUGAAGGUGGAAACCAUCCCUUUUCCCUCUGGAGCUGGAGUGAUGUUCACGGAAGGCAAAGCAGCUGGGCCUGAAUGGGGCUAAGCUCUGGGAGCCAUGAGUGUCUCCACAGAAACAGAGCAGGACACCCGGAGGGACCACCCAAAACCUUGGGUCCGUUUGUGAGGCCAUCAGAUCCUCAGCUGGCAUUUGACAAGGAGGAUCAAGGUUGCAACAGCCUAAAGAAGUUUAAUUUCAAGAAAACAGGCUGAAAGAAUGAGAGUUGUGACCAACUCAGUAUACCACUGGAGGCUAUAUGAGCAAACAGAAAACUGUUCUUAUGAAAGCAGGAUGUUGGAAAACUGAUAACUGUGUCUGCCGCCAGAAGGGGUGCUGAGGGCAGUCAGGCCUCAUGCACAGUGUUCCUUGUGAUUAUCUAUAGGAACAUCUGAAGCCUGUUGUACAAAGAAAGCAAUUAUGUGGACCUGUGAUAAAUCAAGCAGUGGACCAACCAUUAGCUCUCCCUCCCUGCUCUUUCUACCUAACAAAUAUGAAAGACUGUAGAAACUCAGGGCUGCCUUUGCUCUCUAGAAGCAAGGAGCCCCUGACCCCCUCUUUCAAAAUAGGUCUUUUCGUCUUUGUCUUUACUUCUGCAUUCGACCCCCUUCAUUGACCCUGUAGAAACUGUCAGUGACAUUCUCUUUUCCCUUGUAUUUUCUAAAUUUUCUAUAAUUUGCAUGUUAUUUUAAUAAUUAGUGAGGGCAUCAAAGAAGUGGAUUUACAAUGGUGCAAACAUUGGCAGUUUCAGUUAGGAACUCAUAUUCCUGUUGGGUCAGAGAUUGAGCCCUGGAGGAAACCUCUGGUCUGAGGGCUACAGGGAAGCUCCUGUUUCAUGCCUAUUCCUGAAAUUAGGCCUGUCCCUCUGAUUUAGGGAAGAUUUAUUCCUCUGUUUGUCUGCAUACUACAGAAACAGCCUGUGAAAGAAUCUGCAGGCAUCACUUACAAUUGUAACUUAGCAUAUUGGAAAUUUCUGUUGAGGACAUCAAUGGCUUUCAUGUCCUCUGGAGUCUACUCAACAAUUUUUCUUCAAAGUCUAAAGGAGAUUUUUUCUUCCAGCAUAAUAUUCCGUGCAGUGCAGAAAGUCUUUUCUUUUGCCUUUUGGUAAAUGGCCUAAGAGAUUUUACAGUUUAUUGAGAGAAUUCCUAUGCCAUUAUCAUUAAGUUUUGGUUUGCUUAGAAUGUAAAAAAAACUGAGAUUAGAACAAAUUUUUAAAAAAGUAAGGUUAUUACAUCUGUAUAUCUUUCUGUAUGUGCUUUUAAAGUCCUUGUGACAUUGAGUUACAGGGCUUUGACUCCUGGAUCUAUAAAGGACACCAAGUCCUGCUACAUCUUAAACACUGACAACAAUUAAAGCCUCAUCUUCAGGCGCAGUAGAAGAUGCCAAUCAAAAUAAAUUGCAUUCCUGAGACAUAGGGCCAGAAAUAAAAGCUAUUCAACUCCUCAAGGCCCCAGGACUAUUGUGGAAGAGGUGGGUGUGUGAGAUUGAAAGGGCCAAUUUUGAGAGACAAAAUAAGUUCAAUUUCUCUGUAAAUUAAUCAUUAAUGUCAAAGGCACACUGAUGCAAGACAAGAAUAUGGCCCCCUGUGACAGAUUAACAAGGUUUUAGUGAAGCAUUAACUGACUCCUUAAUAAAGGUUAUAAAGGUUAUAAAAGGCUUAAGAAAGUUAUAUCCUAUUGUCAAGAUUAAAAGUUCAUAAAUUGUUAAUAAAAUUUUGAAAAACAGAUUUAAUUGGUAUCACACUGUUUUUAUUAGGGCUUAUAGUUUGGAAAAUUAAGUCUUCUCUCUCAAAGAAAAAAGGUUUUUGCCUUUUUUUGGAAUCCUUGUGUUAUCACUUUGGUUAAAUGAAUGACUUAUUUUACAAUGACCUGUAAUAUCAAGUGUUUUAAACCAUUGAUAUUUGACAAACUUUCCAAAUCAAAUUAUAAAUUAUUUCUUUUUCAGACCUAAUUAAUCCUUUAAGAUAUUAGGUUCCCUAAAAUCUAAAAAUGAAAUUUGGCUCACUUGGUGUAAAAAUUAUACAGGAAGUAUUGUCAAACAUGAAAUGGUGUUUGGUUAUCUUUGGGCUGUAUUUGUAUAAAUAUGUAAUUGGCAUGUGUUCCAAAAUUAUGGGAAACUCAUAUAACUCUGAUAUAACUUAGUAUACAUUAUCAGUAAUAAUCAUUGUCAUGUUAAAUUAUGGUGUGCCACAGAGGUAACAAAUUUCCCUGUCAAUUGUGUUUUUGACUAUGGCUGCUCUAAAACUUUUUGUCAUCCACAGACAAUUGUUUCUUGUUUUGCUCCUCUUUAGAAGGUGGUUUAUAGAACUAUAAUACUCUAACAGGUGCUCUUGAAUGCAGGUUUCUGAUAACUUUGAAGACUGUGACAUCAGAAUAGAGGAAAAACUUUGAAAACUCAUGGAGAGCUGAAAUGUUCAUGAAUAUCAAGCAGAGCAGGAAUUAGCUGCAUGAACUGAACUAAUAGAAGACUGAAGAAUCAAACUUGACUUAUGGAGACAAUAAAAGCCCCUUGGGAAAACUGGCCUCAUACUUUGUCUACGCAGUGCCUGUACAGGGUUCCUGAUCUGUGGUAAGUAAAAAAUGUAACUUUCUGACAGGUCCAGGAGCCCCAAGUUUAUCUUGGGAUCUCAAGAGGAGAGAAAUUCACCCACGCAUAGGUGUUUGAUGGUACAAAUCCAUGGCUGGGUUUCACUUCAAAAAAAUAUUAUCUGAGAUUCCUUCUGUGGAACAAAGUUCCAUCAAAGCCAAUUUAAAAGCCUAUGUAAAAAAAUAAUUAUUCUUGCUGUACUGUAUACAAAUAAUCAGGCCAAGUAUAAUAAAGCAAAUCAGUCCUACC